GGGCAGAGCGCGUGUGGCGGCCGAGCACAUGGGCCCGCGGGCCGGGCGGGCUCGGGGCGGCCGGGACGAGGAGGGGCGACGACGAGCUGCGAGCAAAGAUGUGCCCCGGGACCCCCGGCACCUUCCAGUGGAUUUCCUUGCGGAAAGGAUGUUGGCGGUCCCUGUGACCUGUGGAGACACGGCCAGAUCUGCCCUCCAGCCUGAUCUUUUGGCCAGAAGGAGAUUAAAAAGAUGCCCCUCAAGAUGGCUGUGCCUGUCAGCUGCAUGGAGCUUCGUUCAAGUAUUUUCUGAGCCUGAUGGAUUUACAGUGAUCUUCAGUGGUCUGGGGAAUAACGCUGGUGGAACCAUGCACUGGAAUGACACACGCCCGGCACAUUUCAGGAUACUAAAAGUGGUUUUAAGGGAGGCUGUGGCUGAAUGCCUCAUGGAUUCUUACAGCUUGGAUGUCCAUGGGGGACGAAGGACUGCAGCUGGCUGAGAGGGUUGAGAUCUCUGUUUACUUAGAUCUCUGCCAACUUCCUUUGGGUCUCCCUAUGGAAUGUAAGACCCCGACUCUUCCUGGUGAAGCAUCUGAUGCACGUUCCAUCCGGCGCUCAGCUGGGCUUGAGCUGACCAUACUCCCUGGAGCCUUCUCCCGAGGUGCGCGGGUGACCUUGGCACAUACAGCCAUCAUGAUGGUACUUUAAGUGGAGGCUGAAUCAUCUCCCCUUUGAGCUGCUUGGCACGUGGCUCCCUUGGUGUUCCCCUUUUACUGCCAGGACACUGAGAUUUGGAGAGAAUCCUGUUACACCUGGGAUUUAGGCACUUUCAAUCUGAAAAAAUACAUAUCCUUUCAGCACUCUGGACGGACUUGAGAACUGUCCUUACGUGACCUAAAGCUGGAGUAUUUUGAGAUUGGAGAAUUAAGAAGGACAGAAUAACGGGCUCCCAGAUUCACAAGCCCCACCAAGAGGAUCACCCCAGGAACGCUUGGAGGCUGAGGAGUUCACUGAGGCUACUGCAUCUUGAGACUCAGGAUGAAGACCCAGCUUGGGGCUGUCAAAGGUUUUUUGCAUGUCUGACACCCAUGACUCCACCUGGACCUUAUGGCUCCACCCAGAAGCAAUUCAGCCCAACAGGAGGACAGCUUCAACCCAUUACGAUUUCAUCUCUGCCCCAACCACUCAGCAGCAAGCACCUGUUACCUGUCCACCCCCACCCCUUCCCCCAAACUGCCUUUGAAAAAUCCCUAACCUAUGAGCUUUGAAUAAGAUGAGUACGAACUUCAUCGCCCACGUGGCGUGGCCGGCCUCGUGUCUAUUAAAUUCUUUUUCUACUACAA
rnacentral:lncRNA from 1 species